rnacentral:lncRNA from 1 species
UUCUUAUAUUAUUAUAAGCAAAUAUGAUUGUUGGUUUCGUCUCACCCUCUUUUUGUCGGUACAUGUAUAAUUACCAAAAUAACCUUCACAUCACUAUUAAUAGUAGUUAUUCAAUAAUAUUUAUUGUGAAUUCAAAUUUAAGUUGUUUAAUUAAAUUUAUUGAAAUUUAAUAAAUUAUAAAUUAUAUGAGUAACGGAAGAGGGGAAGUGAAAGAGUCUAUCUAUAAUCUAUUCUUAUUAUUAUAAGCAAAUAUGAUUGUUGGUUUCGUCUCACCCUUUUUUUGUCGGUACAUAUAUAAUUACCAAAAUAACCUUCACAUCACUAUUAAUAGUAGUUAUCCAAUAAUAUUUAUUGUGAAUUCAAAUUUAAGUUGUUUAAUUAAAUUUAUUGAAAUUUAAUAAAUUAUAAAUUAUAUGAGUAACGGAACAGGGGAAGUGAAAGAGUCUAUCUAUAAAUGAAAAAUUUUUAUAAUACAUAAUUACCAAAAUAACCUUCACAUCACUCUUAAUAGUAGUUAUUUAAUAAUAUUUAUUGUGAAUUCAAAUUUAAGUUGUUCAAUUAAAUUUAUUUGAAAUUUAAUAAAUUAUAAAUUGUGUGAGUAACGGAAGGGGGGAAGUUAAAGAGCCUAUCUAUAAAUGAAAAUUUUUUAGAAUUAUUUACAUCUAAUCUUUUCAUCUUCCAAAACAUAAAUGAGAGAGAAAAAAAAUAAUUAAUCAUUCUUUUAUGAAUAACGGUUCAAAUUUAAGAUGUUCAAUUAAAUUUAUUUAAAAUUUAAUAAAUUAUAAAUUGUAUGAGUAACGGAAGAAGGGAAGUGAAAAGGCCUAUCUAUAAAUAAAAAAUUUUUAAAAUUAUUUACAACUAAUCUUUCAUCUUCCAAAUAAUAAAUGAGAAAGAAAAAAAAUAAUUAAUCAUUCUUUUAUGAAUAACGGAUAAGGAGAAGUGGAAGAGCCUAUCUUCUCAUANUANNNNNNNNNNNNNNNNNNNNNNNNNNNNNNNNNAUAUAUAAUUGAGCUCCUAUGCUUUUAAAAGUACCAAAACAUUGGUACUAGUAAGUUUUCGGCCCUUGGAUUAAGGGAUGUGCAGUUAGGAUGAUGUGGAUUCCCUAGGGUUGAGUGGGUGGUAUAUAUAUAUAUAUAUAUAGAUAGAAUUACUGUUAGAACUAGUAUUA